UCGGGAAUUUUGGGCAAUGGGCGAAAGCCUGACCCAGCAACGCCGCGUGAGUGAAGAAGGCCUUCGGGUUGUAAAGCUCUUUUGUCAGGGAAGAAACGGUAGUAGCGAAUAACUAUUACUAAUGACGGUACCUGAAGAAUAAGCACCGGCUAACUACGUGCCAGCAGCCGCGGUAAUACGUAGGGUGCAAGCGUUAAUCGGAAUUACUGGGCGUAAAGCGUGCGCAGGCGGUUGUGUAAGUCAGAUGUGAAAUCCCCGGGCUCAACCUGGGAAUUGCAUUUGAGACUGCACGGCUAGAGUGUGUCAGAGGGGGGUAGAAUUCCACGUGUAGCAGUGAAAUGCGUAGAUAUGUGGAGGAAUACCGAUGGCGAAGGCAGCCCCCUGGGAUAACACUGACGCUCAUGCACGAAAGCGUGGGGAGCAAACAGGAUUAGAUACCCGCGUAGUCCCUGAGCGGGCUGGCAAGGCGCAU
rnacentral:rRNA from 1 species